AAUGGGCGCAAGCCUGAUCCAGCCAUGCCGCGUGAGUGACGAAGGCCCUAGGGUCGUAAAGCUCUUUCGCCUGUGAAGAUAAUGACGGUAGCAGGUAAAGAAACCCCGGCUAACUCCGUGCCAGCAGCCGCGGUAAUACGGAGGGGGUUAGCGUUGUUCGGAAUUACUGGGCGUAAAGCGCGCGUAGGCGGAUUAGUCAGUCAGAGGUGAAAUCCCAGGGCUCAACCCUGGAACUGCCUUUGAUACUGCUAGUCUUGAGUUCGAGAGAGGUAAGUGGAAUUCCGAGUGUAGAGGUGAAAUUCGUAGAUAUUCGGAGGAACACCAGUGGCGAAGGCGGCUUACUGGCUCGAUACUGACGCUGAGGUGCGAAAGUGUGGGGAGCAAACAGGAUU
rnacentral:rRNA from 1 species